rnacentral:rRNA from 1 species
UACAGAGGUCUCAAGCGUUGUUCGGAUUCAUUGGGCGUAAAGGGUGCGUAGGCGGCGCGGUAAGUCGGGUGUGAAAUCUUGGAGCUUAACUCCGAAACUGCAUUCGAUACUGCCGUGCUUGAGGACUGGAGAGGAGACUGGAAUUUACGGUGUAGCGGUGAAAUGCGUAGAUAUCAUGAGGAAGACCAGUGGCGAAGGCGGGUCUCUGGACAGUUCCUGACACUGAGGCAUGAAGGCCAGGGGAGCAAACAGG